AAUAUUUUUAUGAAUUUGUUGUCUGGAUAAUCCAUAAAACCCAGUUUCAGAAUACUAUACAGGUUAAAGAUCACGACUUAAAAUCUUUCAUUGUUUCAUGACAUAUAAUCUAUAAACAUUUAAGACAUUUUAUAUGUAUCUUUAGGUAACGUCUCUUCUUCCUGGUACACAUGCUUUUCAAGAAAGUUCCACAGUCAUGAAUUGACAACAAUAAAUAAAAAAUGCAGAAAGAAAACAGGGAGUUGAAUAGUUCCUAUUUGAAAUGCUGGUCAGUAGUGGUCUGCUACCUUAAAAUUUAAUGCCUACUCUCAGUUUCGAUAUGAAAAAUUGUCGAAGACAUGAAAACCAUCACAUUUCUUGUAGAAUACAUUCCAGCAGUUGGGGACGUAGCUUCCCACAAAUUGGUGUGUAAGUACAUAUUUCCUAGGGAGAGUUCAGUGUAAUAUCUUCUCGGAUGUUACAGAAAGAAUGCAUAGUAUUAUGUUUCCAAAUUUAUUCAUGAUAUAAAUAUUUCUUUUUCAGAGGACCAGACAUUGUGAGAAAGUUUGAUUGCAUUCAAGAGCUGCCAGAGCUAAAGCUAGAAAAGAAACUAAACAACUUCUUCUCAUGAUCUGCUUAAUUGAUCUUCACAUUGAAUUAUGUGAGUUAUGAAUUUUGUUUCAAAGGGUAUCAUAAAUUCUCUUUCUGAUUAAUCCGCAAGAACCGGUUGAAAACUUUAAUAUUGAACAUUCCUUUAAUUAACGUUAUAGGUCAUUUGAACAUAUAGCUCUUUUCAUUUACAAGUUAAUGAAGCUUACAUUAAAAAUGAUUGUGUCACAUGGCGGAGAUAUACUGUUUCUGCCUUUGCCGUCUGUCUUUCCGUCUGUCUAUCCUGAUUAAGCUUGGCCGGCUUUUCUAGGUCAAACUGCUGGCUGGAUUUCGAAGAAACUUCACAGGAGUGAAUCAGUGAUCAAAACCAAGCCCAGUUUUGCAUAUGGCGAACACGUUCCGCCUCGCUGCAUAAAACGGCUGACAGAACUUAAGGUAUACAUAGGGGGGAGAACAUAUGUUUUUGUGACAAAAGCACCUUAUAGUUAUUCUAACAUAUUUCAGCUGAAGGGAGCAAAUUUAUUUAAUAACCUGUUAAAUAAAAAAGGUGAAAAAUUGAAAAGUUACUUAAAUACCUUGAAAUUUAAAAGCAGUUUACUGAACUGUAUAUUCAUUUCUCAGAAAAAAAACAUGCAUAUUAACUUUUUGUUUUCAUCAACCUGUAUGCUACAUUGUAUAAUGACGUUGAGCAAAUAAAGAUACUGCAGUCAGCGUUACAACCUUCAUUAAACAGAAUGAAUUGGUGUCACAGAAAUGGAUAACAUAUGGAGACAAACACUUUCAGGCUACAGAAACUACACAUUGUUUGAGACUAUGAGAAUGGCUUAUUUUCAUGAUGGAACUCAUACCACAAAGAAAGAACUUGCUUUAUCUUAUUUCUUAUAACUAGUCAUCAAAGACAUACCCAAGUAAACUACAACAGGAAUGAAAGCAAACAAAGUUGAUUCAGGAUUUAGAAUUGAAUGUUUUUGUGUCAACAGUGUGUGAAAACUGCGGCAAAUAGGAUUUUAAUUUCAAGGAUUUGAUUGAGUAUGUCAAGGAGUGAUUUGUUUUUAAUUCGUCACACAAGUUAUUGACAAUGCUCUAAAAUACAAAUAGGAUGUGUAAAUACAGACUUUUAUACCUAACUGAAAUAAUGUUGAACUCAACAGAAUAAACAAACAAUUAAACUAUCAUUUUAAAAAGCUAUUGUAUAAUAUAUUACUUGAUUUAUACAACUUUGUCAGUUUUGUUACAUGAUUUAUCAUUGAUAGAAUCUAUUAUCUAAUAACUCUUUACAGUGUGUCAAGUACUCAUCAUUAUAAGCUAUUUUGAAAUAAUUACAGGACUGAUAUUUUACUGGUAUUAGUUAAAUGUGUUGUUAUUAGACCCCUUACAUUUGAAAGUGAGUUUUCUUUAUACAUACAGGAUUCUGCUAUUCCGUCUGUCGGCUAGUCCAGUCUGUCAGAUCUUUGUCCAGAAAUUACAUUUGAAAUAAAAUAUAGCAUCAUUUUCA